rnacentral:rRNA from 1 species
GAUUAACGCUGGCGGCGUGCCUAACACAUGCAAGUCGAGCGGCAGCGAGUUUUACACUGAAUUCUGGAAGCUUCUAGUUGAAAGAGAAGAUUUAUUCAAGAAUUUUGUGUAAAAUGUCGGCGAGCGGCGGACGGCUGAGUAACGCGUGGGAACGUACCCCAAAGUGAGGGAUAACGCAUCGAAAGGUGUGCUAAUACCGCAUAUGGUCUUCGGAUUAAAGCCUUCGGGCGCUUUGGGAACGGCCUGCGUAAGAUUAGAUAGUUGGUGGGGUAAUGGCCUACCAAGUCGACGAUCUUUAACUGGUUUGAGAGGAUGAUCAGUCAGACUGGAACUGAGACACGGUUCAGACUCCUACGGGAGGCAGCAGUGAGGAAUCUUCCACAAUGGGCGAAAGCCUGAUGGAGCAACGCCGCGUGCAGGAUGAAGGCCUUCGGGUUGUAAACUGCUUUUAUAAGUGAGGAUUAUGACAGUAACUUAUGAAUAAGGAUCGGCUAACUACGUG